UACGGGGGGGGCAAGCGUUGUUCGGAAUUACUGGGCGUAAAGGGCUUGUAGGUGGCCAACUAAGUCAGACGUGAAAUCCCUCAGCUUAACUGGGGAACUGCGUCUGAUACUGAGUGGCUUGAGUGCAGGAGAGGAAUGCGGAAUUCCAGGUGUAGCGGUGAAAUGCGUAGAUAUCAGGAGGAACACCGGUGGCGAAGGCGGGAUCCUGGGCCAGUACUGACGCUGAGGAGCGAAAGCGUGGGGAGCAAACAGG
rnacentral:rRNA from 1 species